rnacentral:rRNA from 1 species
GUGAGGAAUUUUCCGCAAUGGGCGAAAGCCUGACGGAGCAAUGCCGCGUGAAGGAUGAAGGCCUAUGGGUUGUAAACUUCUUUUCUCAGAAAAGAAUUAUGACGGUAUCUGAGGAAUAAGCAUCGGCUAACUCUGUGCCAGCAGCCGCGGUAAGACAGAGGAUGCAAGCGUUAUCCGGAAUGAUUGGGCGUAAAGCGUCUGUAGGUUGUUUAAAAAGUAUUCUGUCAAAGAUUAGGGCUUAACCCUAGAUAGGCAGAAUAAACUUUUAAGCUAGAGUUUGGUAGAGGCAGAGGGAAUUCCCGGUGGAGCGGUGAAAUGCGUAGAUAUCGGGAGGAACACCAAAGGCGAAGGCACUCUGCUGGGCCAAUACUAACACUGAGAGACGAAAGCGAGGGGAGCAAAUGGGAUUAGAUACCCCUGUAGACC